AGGUCUGUAGCUCAAGUGGUAGAGUAGCGGUCUCCAAAACCGUUGGUUGGGGGUUCGAGUCCCUCCAGGCCUG
rnacentral:tRNA from 1 species